GCCUCGGUGGCGGAAUUGGUAGACGCGUCAGACUUAAAAUCUGAUGACUGCAAAGUUGUGUGGGUUCGAUUCCCUCCCGAGGCA
rnacentral:tRNA from 1 species